rnacentral:rRNA from 1 species
AUGUUACACCUGUACGGUAAUGGCGUCGAGGACAAGAUCACGUCGUUGUUCAGCCGGAGGGGCAGCGGGCUUGCCCGGGGACAGUCCAAGGAGAACCUUCGGGUCGAGAAAUUCCAGGAUUUUGGGACACCGAGUGCUCCCCCAAUUGCACGAGAUGGGGAGGUGGAUGGCAUUUUCGAUGCAAUUGCUGACAUGAAUAGAGGCUUUGAGAAGACAGAGAUCUCAUCAGUGGCGGAUAUACUGGCUCAAGAUGUUCAUGAGCUUCCUACGAGAAAAAAUGCAAUUCAGAUCAAAUGUUCAGGCGGAUGGUGUUCAGAUGCCGUACAUCGUGAACAAUUUAUUAGCUCAGAUACCCAGCUUCACAACUAA